GUUUAUAACAGUCAGAAUAUCGACAGCAUGGUAAGUACCCCCCACAGGGGAAAUGCCCAAGUGCACUACGGCCACACAACAGAGCGCCAGCCGUUCCGACCUCAAACCCCCGGUCCCCCCGCCCUCCCCACGCUGCACCGUGAAGCCAGCCGUUAACCCUAGGGUCUGAGGUCACCCUGGCGGUGUCAAGGCCCAGCUCUGGAACAUCCUAACCCUUAGUUCCCGUAUGAAAAUAAUGAGGCUACCAGAGGAUUGAAAAAUCGUUAAUGAAAAGCGCUGAGACAUACGAUGCUUCAUAAAUGCUUCCAGCAACUUCGGUUACACAGAAGUCGCCAGGCACUUCCAGGGAUACCCACGCUGUGUUCCACACCCAGAAAGUCUAACGCAGGUGGUCUGGGGUGUAGACCAAACACCCAGACUGUCGCAGCUAAGCAGGUGGGUUCUNNNNNNNNNNNNNGGGAAAGAGGCUCAUGUUGGCCCAAGGUUCUUAAUCGUAGUGGCAAGCUGGUCAGCGAAUAACCAGGAGCAGGCACAGGCCCUCCCAGGAGGAAGGUCAUUGACCAGCCAGCUCACGGCAACCAGCUCUUCCCGAGGUCACUGUCCCCGCACAAAGCAGCACAGAGGUUAAAGGUCAGAGCUGCCGCAGCAGCUGGAAAUGAGAACCAUCCCAGGGAGGAGCAGGCGAGGGAUCACAGAUCAGUGCGGGGUCCCUGAGUCCUGAGCAGCUUAUGAUCUGAGCAGGAAGCGGCACCGUGGCGGAGCUGCUGGGCGUCUGCGUUCCUCGACCUGGCUCAGCAAACCCUGCAGGCGGCUCCUGAAAAACUGGACCGGCCACAGCUCUGGCUGGCGGCCGGGCCCGAGAAGACAGGUCCACACAGUGCUGAGGACCCGGCAGUGACUGCAACGCCUCCUGGAGCAAACGCGGCACGUUCCAGGCCAAGAUGGGACGAGUCGUCUCUGCACGUCUCAGGCACGAUCCCCUGAACAGACAAGCAAGAACUGGACAACGCGACCGAUAAUCAGGAUAAUGGACCUAGACGUAUAGAAAACUUACAUUUUGAAGGUAGCAGAUGAGCCGUUUAAACAGCCACGCUACGUACCUGAAAGGAUUCGCCAGCCAAGUGUCAAGAAGGCCGCGAAGUGGGGGGUGAUGCUGGCCGCGAAGUGGAAACUUCAGAAAGAAAACAAAUGGAGACCCUCGUGUUGAAAAAACCCUGGACCCAAAUGAAAAAUGCGCUCGACAGGCCUCCCGAAAGAUGGGCUGCAGAGGAGGGCUUCACCGCCUUGAAAACAGGACAAGAGAAAUGACCCAUUUUCGGAACCACAAAGAGGAAAAGUCCUGCGGAAGAACAGCAAGUGGUCGGUCUCCGGACCUGAGCCGGAGCCCAGGGGACGGACAGAGGGAAGGGGCAGCUGUUCAGAGAGACCACGGCCACUUCCCCUCAAAUGGCGAGGGCAGGAGUUCCUGCCGUGCCUCAGUGGUUAACGAAUCCGACUAGGAACCAUGAGGUUGCGGGUUCGAGCCCUGGCCUUGCUCAGUGGGUUAAGGAUCCGGCGUUGCUGUGAGCUGUGGUGUAGGUCGCAGACGUGGCUUGGAUCCGACGUUGCUGUGGCUGUGGUGUAGACCAGCAGCUACAGCUCUGACUCAACCCCUAGCCUGGGAACCUCCAUAUGCCGCGGGUGUGGCCUUAAAAAGCAAACGAAAAACAAACAAACAAACCGAAAAAACUGCUAGGACACACACAGAGCCAAGUAGCUCAGCAACCCUGUCAUGUUAUAGACAAAGGACAGAUCUUAGUCAAACUUUUUGAAAAAUGAGAAUGAGGAGAAAAGUCUGAAAAAAUACUAAUAAGAAAAAAGGAGGGAGUUCUUUGGUGGCUCAGCAGGUUAAAGGUCCCAUGUUGAGGAAUCCCCGUCAUGGCGCAGUGGUUAACGCAUCCGACUGGGAACCAUGAGGUUGAGGGUUCGAUCCCCGGCCUUGCUCAGUGGGUUGGGGAUCCUGCGUUGCCGUGAGCUGUGGUGUAGGUCGCAGACGCGGCUGGGAUCCUGCGUAGCUGUGGCUCUGGCGUAGGCCAGCGGCUACAGCUCUGAUUAGACCCCUGGCCUGGGA
ensembl:lncRNA